ensembl:snRNA U6 U6 spliceosomal RNA
GUGCUCGCUUCAGCAGCACAUAUACUAAAAUUGGAACAAUAUAGAGAAGAUUAGCAUGACCCCUAUGCAUGGAUGACAGGCAAAUUCGUGAAGCAUUUCAUAUUUUU